rnacentral:tRNA from 1 species
CAGGGAAUAGUUUAAAUAGAACUUCAGCUUUGGGUGUUGAUAGUGGGGCUAUAGCUUC